GGCGUGUGACUGCGUACCUUUUGUAUAAUGGGUCAGCGACUUAUAUUCUGUAGCAAGGUUAACCGAAUAGGGGAGCCGAAGGGAAACCGAGUCUUAACUGGGCGUUAAGUUGCAGGGUAUAGACCCGAAACCCGGUGAUCUAGCCAUGGGCAGGUUGAAGGUUGGGUAACACUAACUGGAGGACCGAACCGACUAAUGUUGAAAAAUUAGCGGAUGACUUGUGGCUGGGGGUGAAAGGCCAAUCAAACCGGGAGAUAGCUGGUUCUCCCCGAAAGCUAUUUAGGUAGCGCCUCGUGAAUUCAUCUCCGGGGGUAGAGCACUGUUUCGGCAAGGGGGUCAUCCCGACUUACCAACCCGAUGCAAACUACGAAUACCGGAGAAUGUUAUCACGGGAGACACACGGCGGGUGCUAACGUCCGUCGUGAAGAGGGAAACAACCCAGACCGCCAGCUAAGGUCCCAAAGUCAUGGUUAAGUGGGAAACGAUGUGGGAAGGCCCAGACAGCCAGGAUGUUGGCUUAGAAGCAGCCAUCAUUUAAAGAAAGCGUAAUAGCUCACUGGUCGAGUCGGCCUGCGCGGAAGAUGUAACGGGGCUAAACCAUGCACCG
rnacentral:rRNA from 1 species